rnacentral:lncRNA from 1 species
UGGCCCCCUCUCCGCCACGCCGGCGCCAGCGCUGUGUGCCUUUGCGAGGGCGGAGCUGCGGUCUCCUCAGCACAGACCCGGAGAGCAUUGCGAGGGCGGAGCUGAGUUCUCCUCUGCAGACUUCGGAGAUACAGCGAAGGCAGAGCAAUGUUCUCCUCAGCAGAGACCCGGGCGGGCGGGCCGGUGGCACCGCGAGGGCGGAGCUGCGUUCUGCUCUGCACAGACCUUGGGGGCACUGCCUCGCUUUGGGACAACUCAGGGCCGCAUGGACAGUGAAUAAAAUCCUUCCUGUUUGCAGCCCUGUUUGUGGUUGGUGGCAGCGAUGGACACUGCAGCCAGCCAGAGCGUAGAAAGGCGUCGGGUGAAAGAAGAUGGCCACGGAGACAGACAGCAGCGUGGUCAGAGUGGUAGGAGCCGGCCAUCAGCGAGAGCUGCUCCAUGCCUGGCUGCUGGGUCCUAGAGCCUGUGGCCCACUGGCUUGCCUCACUGUGGUUGGUGGUGGUGGUGACAGAGACUGCAGGACGACCAGAGUGGCUUUUCUGGCUUUGCCCGCCCAGCUGCUCUGUGCCAGGAGGAGGAGGAGACACCUAGAGCCUGCGACACCAUGGCUCGCCUCGCUGCGGGUGGGCGGCAGUGACAGAGACUGCGGUGCGCCAGAGUGGUAGGAGAGCGGCUGCGCUAGGAGGGCAGGCGGCUGCAGCCAGGGUUGGGGGUCAGGCUUAGAGCGAUGGACGGGCUGCAGCAGUGGCCAGGUGGUAGGAGCCUUGUAGGGAGGGCUGGUGCCUUGGCAAUGGGCCUGGCUUUGCCCUGCGCCUGCCGUGGAUCUGGCCCUGUACUGCCCUGCCUUGCCCUGUACCUGCCCUACUGUUACUUGGACUCUCGGCCCUGUCCUGCUCUGGUCCCAUCCUGACCCUGUCUUGGCCCUGUGCUACCCUGUCCCUGCCCUGGUCUUGCCCUGGCACUGGCCCUGCCCUGAACCUGCACUGGCCUGACCUUGGCUCUGGCCCUGGCUCUGGCCCUGCCUCUUGUCCUGACCCUGGUCGUGUCAUGGCACUGGCCCUGCCAAUGGUCAUGGUCCUGCUCCUGUUCUGGCCCUGACCUGGCCUUGGACAUGUCCUGGCCCUGCUUUGGCCCAUCCCUGCCCUGGCUCCACCAUGGGCCUGCCUGUUCUGCCCUCUCCUGGCACUGACCUUGCCCUGUCAUGGCCCAGUGGUGCCAUUGCCCUGCCUUACCCUGCGCUGGUUGUGACUUGGCCCCGCUUGGUGCUGGCCACUCCCUGGACCUGCCCUGGACCUGCCCUGACCCUGCCCUUGGCUUUUGCCCUGCCCUCACUAUGGCCUGGCCCUGGCCCUAGCCCUGGUCCUGCCAUAUCCCUGGCCCUGCCCUUAUCCAGGCCCUGCCCCUGCUGCUGC